rnacentral:rRNA from 1 species
AUUGAACGCUGGCGGCAGGCCUAACACAUGCAAGUCGAACGGGAGGCGGACGGGAGAGUAAUGUCGGGGAAACUGCCUGAUGGAGGGGGCUAACUAGUGGAAACGGUAGCUAAAACCGCAUACGAUCAUGUGUGCCCAGAUGGGAUUGGCGUGUUGGUGGGGUAACGGCUCACCAAGGCGACGAUCCAUAGCUGGGCUGAGAGGAUGACCCGCCACACUGGAACUGAGACCCGGUCCAGACGCCUACGGGAGGCAGCAGUGGGGAAUAUGACACAAUGGGCGCAAGCCUGAUCCAGCCACGCCGCGUGUGUGAAUAAGGCCUGCGGGUUGUAAAGUACUGUCAGUGGGGAGGCGUUACCCGAACAAGAAGCACCGGCUAACUCCGUGCCAGCCGCCGCGGUAAUUC